GUUGGUUAGAGGACUCCCCUCAAUUCUACCUUUUGGGCUAAAACUCCAUUUCCCAGGGUGCAUCUUGAGCUGGGAGCCUCCAAUGAGGGCUGAGGGAGUCUUUAAUGACCAUCCUUGAGAUGCUGCUUUAACCCCAUAACACAUCUUGAAGAGCUGGUGUAUGACAGAGCCAUGGGGGUCUCAAGGCGCAGUGGGGCAAAGAACAGCAGCAGGAAGCGAAAGGGAGAGUCAGGGAAUAAGGAAGGAGAGCUGAAGGCACCCAGGAGAAAAGUGAUGAAGAAGGAACCAGGGGAGAUACAAUGCACAGUGGAGCCCUCUGUGGUAAAAGGGAAGAAGAAGAAGUCACCAGAGACCAAGGUGAAGCCGCUGCAGGAAAACAUCAUCAGCAG